rnacentral:rRNA from 1 species
ACGGUCCUACGGGGGGCAGCAGUGAGGAAUAUUGGUCAAUGGGCGGAAGCCUGAACCAGCCAAGUCGCGUGAGGGAAUAAGGCCCUACGGGUCGUAAACCUCUUUUGCCGGGGAGCAAGGGCGGGGACGUGUCCCGGCCCGGAGAGUACCCGGAGAAAAAGCAUCGGCUAACUCCGUGCCAGCAGCCGCGGUAAUACGGAGGAUGCGAGCAUUAUCCGGAUUUAUUGGGUUUAAAGGGUGCGUAGUCGGGCUUUUAAGUCAGCGGAAAAAAUUCGGGGAUCAACCCCGUCCGGCCGGUGAAACUG